CCCUUAGAUGUCCGGGGCCGCACGCGCGCUACACUGAAGGAAUCAGCGUGGCUUUCGCCCUGACCCGAAAGGGUUGGGAAACCCGUUGAAUCUCCUUCGUGAUAGGGAUUGGGGCUUGAAAUUGUUCCCCAUGAACGAGGAAUUCCCAGUAAGCGCGAGUCAUAAGCUCGCGUUGAUUACGUCCCUGCCCUUUGUACACACCGCCCGUCGCUACUACCGAUUGAACGGUUUAGUGAGGGCCUCGGAUUGGUCUCGGCCCGCUCUUUACCGGGCGGCGCCGUUGGUCGAGAAGACGCUCGAACUUGAUCGUUUAGAGGAAGUAAAAGUCGUAACA
rnacentral:rRNA from 1 species